GAAAUUAUUAUCUCAAUUUAAAAAUGUAUAAUGAGAAUUAUGAAUAACUAGCACACUUUCAUAAAUACUAGAGAUUAAAAGCAUGUCAUUUCUAAUUAUUAUCAAACUCUACAACAUUGCCUUAAUAGUUAUUAAACUGGCUUUAAAUUCCACAACGUGACCCAUUCACUGACAGAAAAGUAAUUUUUUUCCUCAAUGAAGUUGUCAGAAGGCCAAUUUUUUCAGGUAUUCACUAUCGUGCUUCUUUUUUUUAUUAUUGUUAAGUUCAUUCAUAUCAAUUAGGAUGAUUGUUCUAUCAUACCAUGUAGCCCAGCAGAAAGAUGAAGUGAAAUAUGUAGUUAUCUUAUGUAUGUGACCUUCAAACAAUUUUUAAUAGUGUCUAGUUAGCAUAUGAUCUUUCAUGUCUAACAGCAUUUUUCAGUAAUGUAUAAUUCAGUGAGCGUCCAUCAAGGAUUAAAUUUGUCAAGCAAGGUUUACAGCAAAAAGUACUGCUAGAAACCAAAAGGCCAAUGUAUAAUUCAGUGAGCGUCCAUCAAGGAUUAAAUUUGUCAAGCAAGGUUUACAGCAAAAAUUACUGCUAGAAACCAAAAGGCCUCAUGGAAAACACAUUCAAGUUGCAUAAGAUAACGGCGCGAAAGGAAGACAAAACAAUGAUAUCAAAGGAGCAAAGACAAAAUAGUUUUGACAUGGCAUGGAUGAAGCUCCAAAAGGCAACAGAGGCCAUCUAAACAAAACCGGAUUCCAGUAUAUCCAAUACGUGAAGGGAUAGUAUAAUUUUUAACACAGCAGUCAUA
rnacentral:lncRNA from 1 species